rnacentral:rRNA from 1 species
AUUGAACGCUGGCGGCAUGCUUUACACAUGCAAGUCGAACGGCAGCGGGGUAGUGCUUGCACUACUGUCCGGCGAGUGGCGAACGGGUGAGUAAUAUAUCGGAACGUACCGAGUAAUGGGGGAUAACCAAUCGAAAGAUUGGCUAAUACCGCAUACGUCCUGAGGGAGAAAGCGGGGGAUCGCAAGACCUCGCGUUAUUCGAGCGGCCGAUAACUGAUUAGCUAGUUGGUGGGGUAAAGGCCUACCAAGGCGACGAUCAGUAGCGGGUCUGAGAGGACGAUCCGCCACACUGGGACUGAGACACGGCCCAGACUCCUACGGGAGGCAGCAGUGGGGAAUUUUGGACAAUGGGGGCAACCCUGAUCCAGCCAUGCCGCGUGUAUGAAGAAGGCCUUCGGGUUGUAAAGUACUUUUGUUAGGGAAGAAAAGGGAAGUGCUAAUACCACUUUUUGCUGACGGUACCUAAAGAAUAAGCACCGGCUAACUACGUGCCAGCAGCCGCGGUAAUACGUAGGGUGCGAGCGUUAAUCGGAAUUACUGGGCGUAAAGCGAGCGCAGACGGUUAUUUAAGCAGGAUGUGAAAUCCCCGGGCUUAACCUGGGAACUGCGUUCUGAACUGGAUAGCUAGAGUGUGUCAGAGGGGGGUAGAAUUCCACGUGUAGCAGUGAAAUGCGUAGAGAUGUGGAGGAAUACCGGUGGCGAAGGCAGCCCCCUGGGAUAACACUGACGUUCAUGCUCGAAAGCGUGGGUAGCAAACAGG